AGAGUUUGAUCCUGGCUCAGGAUGAACGCUGGCGGCGUGCUUAACACAUGCAAGUCGAGCGAAGCGAUUUAGCGGAAGUUUUCGGAUGGAAGUUGGAUUGACUGAGCGGCGGACGGGUGAGUAACGCGUGGGUAACCUGCCUCAUACAGGGGGAUAACAGUUAGAAAUGACUGCUAAUACCGCAUAAGCGCACGGGAACGCAUGUUCUUGUGUGAAAAGCCGAGACGGUAUGAGAUGGACCCGCGU
rnacentral:rRNA from 1 species